GGACUCAGCGGUUUCCUGGGCAACCGGCCUCCUCCGGCGCGGCCCGCGCGGCUCCAGGUGGCGGGAGGCGGCGGUUGGCGGGAAGGGCCGCGCGGGCCCGGGGGCGGCGCCUCAGAUGCGCUCUUUCCAGAAAGGCAGCACACGCAUGUCUCUGCCGUGGCCCCAGAUCCUCCCCGCGCCGCCGUUUUGAGCGUUCACACUCAUUACCCAGGUCCGUCUGGGAGACCCGCCGGGCUCCCGCCCUCCCGGCCCGCAGCCUCCUGGCCAAAAUCCUCCCGGGACACCCCACCUGGACUGCUGCGAACGGGCCUCCACCCGCCUCCCCGGACCCGCAGCGCCCCCCGCUCCCUCAGGGUUCUGGGGUGAAGGGGUCUGAAUAGCACCAGGGGAGGCGGCAGGGCGGGCCUGUCCUACCUGCGCCCGAGCACUGCUGAGACGACAUCCCUUCCAGCGCCGCCACGUAGUCCAGCCCCAGCCAGCCGCGGUCCUGGAAGCACCGCAGGCAGACGACCUGCUCCUCACUGGGCUCAGGCAGGGUCACCCGCCCAGUGCCGCUAGCUGCAAAUUGCUUUACAUACAGUGACCCAAAGAGCAAGUCAUUUCAGGGCCCCACCACUCUGAUUGGAAGUCAUAAGCUUGACAACUGAUUGGCCUCUGUCACCCAAGCGGGUGUGGGGACACUAGGCCCGCAGGUGCCACUGGAAGAGGCGUUCAGAAGCACUGCGGUGCUCCAGCUCCUGGAUGCAGAAAGACCCAGAAAUGAGGGAUGGUGUGGGUGGGAUUCCUGAGCGUUCUGCUAGGCCUGCUGAGCACUUCUUGGCCUUUUCCAUAAGGCUUUCUCACUCUGUCUUACAGAUAUCUCCCCACAAACCUAAACAAUUUCGAGAGGGACUUGUGUUCUGCAACCAGUCACAGAAUAUCAGGUGAGCUGGGCGUGUCUUCACUGACCCACCCGCCCAGGGAUGCUGCACUCCUCUCCACCCUGCUCAGAAUCACUAGAAUGACCGUUCUGUGGCUACAGCCCUAAAAGAGCUACUAAAAAGACCAGAAGUAGUAUGAGAACUUAUGAAUACGAAUAUAAAUAAAGGACAUCUGGAGAACAUGCAUGAAUGUCUAUGUAAAGUGUUAAGUACUGAUCAAGGAGGAACGAAGGAGUCAGGUGGCUCUCAGUCUUUUUGGAGGGACUCGCAGAUCCUCCUGAAGAUCUGAUGAAAGCUGUCAGCCUUCUCCCCAGAAAAAUGCACAUCCACCCAGGAUUCUUCUCCCACAUUACUUCAGAGGACUUAGCAACCCCCUAGGGAAGCCCAGGGACCCAGAGUAAAGCACUCCUGGGAUAGAGGGGUUCUGUGGGGAAGAUGACAGGAAGGAACAUGCGUCAGUUCACAAUGUCAAAGUUUAGGAACAGGCCUGGCGAGCCAGCCAGCUCUGCAGUUCUGUGGUGCUGGUGGGUGUGGAGAAGGCAAUUUCAGCAUAAGUCGGGGGAGGGGGAGUGGUUAGAAACCAGUGGCUCCAUUGUGAGACAACCUGGGUUUAAAUUCUAGGUAUAUU
rnacentral:lncRNA from 1 species